GAUGAACGCUGGCGGCGUGCUUAACACAUGCAAGUCGAACGAAGCACUUUAUUUGAUUUCCUUCGUGACUGAUUAUUUUGUGACUGAGUGGCGGACGGGUGAGUAACGCGUGGGUAACCUGCCUUGUACAGGGGGAUAACAGUUGGAAACGGCUGCUAAUACCGCAUAAGCGCACAGCAUCGCAUGAUGCAGUGUGAAAAACUCCGGUGGUAUAAGAUGGACCCGCGUUGGAUUAGCUAGUUGGUGAGGUAACGGCCCACCAAGGCGACGAUACAUAGCCGACCUGAGAGGGUGACCGGCCACAUUGGGACUGAGACACGGCCCAAACUCCUACGGGAGGCAGCAGUGGGGAAUAUUGCACAAUGGGCGAAAGCCUGAUGCAGCGACGCCGCGUGAGCGAAGAAGUAUUUCGGUAUGUAAAGCUCUAUCAGCAGGGAAGAUAAUGACGGUACCUGAAUAAGAAGCACCGGCUAAAUACGUG
rnacentral:rRNA from 1 species